rnacentral:rRNA from 1 species
GACGAACGCUGGCGGCGUGCUUAACACAUGCAAGUCGAACGGAAAGGCCCUGCUUUUGUGGGGUGCUCGAGUGGCGAACGGGUGAGUAACACGUGAGUAACCUGCCCUUGACUUUGGGAUAACUUCAGGAAACUGGGGCUAAUACCGGAUAGGAGCUCCUGCUGCAUGGUGGGGGUUGGAAAGUUUCGGCGGUUGGGGAUGGACUCGCGGCUUAUCAGCUUGUUGGUGGGGUAGUGGCUUACCAAGGCUUUGACGGGUAGCCGGCCUGAGAGGGUGACCGGCCACAUUGGGACUGAGAUACGGCCCAGACUCCUACGGGAGGCAGCAGUGGGGAAUAGUGCACAAUGGGCGGAAGCCUGAUGCAGCAACGCCGCGUGCGGGAUGACGGCCUUCGGGUUGUAAACCGCUUUCGCCUGUGACGAAGCGUGAGUGACGGUAAUGUGUAAAGAAGCACCGGCUAACUACGUG